AAGCGACUAGGAGCCAAAGAGAGAGGCUGCCUAGGACAGGAGGGGGAUUGCCCCAAGACCGUGUAAAUGCUCCAAAUCCACCGGGACCCAGGAUUGUGUAUUCUAAAGUCCCAAAUGAAUGAAUGAAUGCUGAAAAUAUCGCCAAGAGGAUCUCUUUGGGACCCUAAAAGGGUGAUCGGCAUGAGCUAAGGCAACAGCCCCUGAUGAUACUGCUAGAUUCAGAGACCACAGCAAUUCAAGAUUCUGAUUCUUGGGGGAAAUGGCCUGCUACCAGUCACUUGGCCAAACACACCAUGUGAGUAGCUUGUAAUGCCCAGGGACCAUGGGAGAGCAGGACCAACAGGUGACCAUGUCCUGUGACCAGGAGUAAGGCCCAGGCAGCCUGGUUUCAGUCAAACCCAGUGCCCUGGUACCCUCACAGUUAAGAGGGGUGAAGAGUGUUAUAAGAAUUUGCAGGGUCCUGGUGACCUCGCCUCUCUGAAUUUAAAACCAUCAGCCCCAACCUUCUACCCCAUUCUGCAGCCCCUUCCAUACUGUCUUCCUGCCCCUUAGCACUUACCUCUCCAGCUGCUUACCUGGGGCCUU